GACGAACGCUGGCGGCGUGCUUAACACAUGCAAGUCGAACGAAGAGCGAUGGAAGCUUGCUUCUAUCAAUCUUAGUGGCGAACGGGUGAGUAACGCGUAAUCAACCUGCCCUUCAGAGGGGGACAACAGUUGGAAACGACCGCUAAUACCGCAUACGAUCUAAUCUCGGCAUCGAGGAUAGAUGAAAGGUGGCCUCUACAUGUAAGCUAUCACUGAAGGAGGGGAUUGCGUCUGAUUAGCUAGUUGGAGGGGUAACGGCCCACCAAGGCGAUGAUCAGUAGCCGGUCUGAGAGGAUGAACGGCCACAUUGGGACUGAGACACGGCCCAGACUCCUACGGGAGGCAGCAGUGGGGAAUCUUCCGCAAUGGACGAAAGUCUGACGGAGCAACGCCGCGUGAGUGAUGACGGCCUUCGGGUUGUAAAGCUCUGUUAAUCGGGACGAAAGGCCUUCUUGCGAAUAGUGAGAAGGAUUGACGGUACCGGAAUAGAAAGCCACGGCUAACUACGUG
rnacentral:rRNA from 1 species